rnacentral:rRNA from 1 species
CCUACGGGAGGCUGCAGUGGGGAAUAUUGGACAAUGGGGGCAACCCUGAUCCAGCCAUGCCGCGUGUGUGAAGAAGGCCCUCGGGUUGUAAAGCACUUUCAGUGAGGAAGAACGCCUGGUGGUUAAUACCCAUCAGGAAAGACAUCACUCACAGAAGAAGCACCGGCUAACUCCGUGCCAGCAGCCGCGGUAAUACGGAGGGUGCGAGCGUUAAUCGGAAUUACUGGGCGUAAAGCGCGCGUAGGUGGCUUGAUAAGCCGGUUGUGAAAGCCCCGGGCUCAACCUGGGAACGGCAUCCGGAACUGUCAAGCUAGAGUGCAGGAGAGGAAGGUAGAAUUCCCGGUGUAGCGGUGAAAUGCGUAGAGAUCGGGAGGAAUACCAGUGGCGAAGGCGGCCUUCUGGACUGACACUGACACUGAGGUGCGAAAGCGUGGGUAGCAAACAGGAUUAGAUACCCCUGUGGUC